rnacentral:lncRNA from 1 species
GUGUAAAGGAGAGCUCCUGUUCCCUGGCACUGCCUGAAGGGACCCCAGUCGACAGUCACAAGCAACCUGUGAAGGGUGCUGCGGAGACUCCUUGCUCUACUGCCCAUGAAGAAAGUCCAGUCGGCGGUGACGAGAGUGAGAGUGUAAAGGAGAGCUCCUGUUCCCUGGCACUGCCU